AGGAGGAGGGAGAGGAGGAAGGGAGGAAGCGCAACCGAGCCUCGUGGAUUGACCCGCCCGAGGAGGAUUACUCCACGCAGCUGACCCAGGCCGAGGUGGAGAGCUGCAUGAAGAAGUACGAGGUGGGUGGUGUCUGUCCCCUCUGUCCCCUCUGUCCCCUCUGUCCCACCUUCCUGGACCUCCUGGGCUCCCCGAGGUGUUCCUGGGGCUCCCUGAGGUGUCCCCGUGGCCAGCAGGAUCCUCAAGGUGUCCCCAUGGGUUCCUCGAGGUGUCCCCAUGGGUUCCUCGAGGUGUCUCCAUGAGUUCCUCAAGGUGUCCCAUGAGCUCUUCAAGGUGUCCCAUGGGUUCUUCAAGGUGUCCCCAUGGCUGGUGGCCUCCCCAAAGUGUCCCUGGUGGCCUUCCCAAGGUGUCCCCAUGAUUUGUGGGCUCCCCAAAGUGUCCCUGGUGGCCUCACCGAGGUGUCCCCAUGGCUAUCAGGAUCCCCCAAGGUGUCCCAUGGGUUCCUCAAGGUGUCCCCAUGGCUCCCCAGAAUGUCCCUGGACCUGGUGGCCUCACCAAAGUGUCCCUGGUGGCCUCACCGAGGUAUCCUCAUGGCCAUCAGGAUCCCCAAGGUGUCCCCAUGGCUGGUGGCCUCCUCAAAGUGUCCCUGGACCUGGUGGCCUGCCCAAGGUGUCCCUGGUGGCCUUUCCAAGGUGUUCCUGGGGCUCCCAGGAUCCCCAAGUGUUCUCUGAGAUGUCCCCAUGGCCAGUGACAUCCCCAAAGUGUCCCGUGGGUUCCCUGAGGUGUCCCCGUGGCCACCAGGCUCCCCGAGGUGUCCCCAUGACUUGUCACCUCCCCGAGGUGUCCCCGUGGCCACCAGGCUCCCCGAGGUGUCCCCAUGACUUGUCACCUCCCCGAGGUGUCCCCGUGGCCACCAGGCUCCAUCCUGAGCCCUCCCCACCCUGCCCCGUUCCCGUCAGGACACCUUCCAGGACUACCAGGAGAUGUUCAUCCAGUUUGGCUACGUGGUGCUCUUCUCCUCGGCCUUCCCGCUGGCCGCCAUGUGCGCCCUGGUCAACAACGUCAUCGAGAUCCGCAGCGACGCCUUCAAGCUCUGCACGGGGCUGCAGAGACCCUUCGGCCAGCGCGUGGAGAGCAUCGGCCAGUGGCAGAAGGUGAUGGAGGCCAUGGGUGUCCUGGCCAUCGUGGUCAACUGUUACCUGAUCGCGCAGUGCGGGCAGCUGCAGCGGCUCUUCCCCUGGCUCAGCCCCGAGGGGGCCAUCGUGUCCGUGGUGGUGCUGGAGGUACCGGAUCCGUGGGGUCUGUGGGGUG
rnacentral:lncRNA from 1 species